rnacentral:lncRNA from 1 species
GCUGUUGGGGUGGAGAAGAAACCAAGAAUGUUAGUUGUGCAAGCCUCCGAACUGGAAAUGCUUACAAAUACUGUGUAAAGGACAAGGAAAAACCUAAAUGUGUGGAGUGGCAAUCAGUGGAUUCCAAUAAGACGUCUAUGUGGCUUGCUGAACUUUGCCAACACAAAAACACUACACAUGCACCCAAUGUGAUUGAUGUCAGCUACUCCUGUAUCAGCCUCCUGGAGUGUGUCAACGUAGACCACACUGCCAUAAGCAAUGUGACUGAGCAUUUGACCCAUUUCGUUGUGUUUGGUGCAUCAGGUGAGUGAGUCCACGUGAUCAUUGUGUGGUACAGUAACACUCUCUUAUUAAGCUUAAAAACAUGAAACAAUAUCAUAGUCAUUUGGAAUAGGAUCACCUGUUGCGCAGUGAGAGCCAGCUCCUCAUAACUGGUUGAUGCAGCAUCAACUCAUAACUGGUUGAUACAUGGAAUAAAACAUGUGUUCCUAUAAGCCCAUGUUGCACAACAUUUUUCUAUAGGCUAUGCUAUGUAUUUGCAUGAGAAAACAGUUUUGAUGGCCUAUAUUAAAAAGAGGAGGAUCCCAUCAGCUUUCUACAGGCUAGGCCUACUAUAUUUAUUUCUCAACUUUGCUCAUAUUAAGCACAUUGCUUCGCUUUACAACCGGAGUAACCUACCUGGCUGGGCUGAAAAUGAACCGCUGGAAAGGUGUCCUCCAUUUGCUAUUCAAGUGCA